UACGUAGGGGGGCAAGCGUUGUCCGGAUUUAUUGGGCGUAAAGAGCGUGUAGGCGGCUAUACAGGUCCGUUGUGAAAAACUCGAGGCUCAACCUCGAGACGCCGAUGGAAACCGUAUGGCUAGAGUCCGGAAGAGGAGAGCGGAAUUCCUGGUGUAGCGGUGAAAUGCGCAGAUAUCAGGAGGAACACCGGUGGCGAAGGCGGGUCUCUGGGCAGUAACUGACGCUGAGGAGCGAAAGCGUGGGGGAGCGAACAGG
rnacentral:rRNA from 1 species